UCACCUCUGUGUGGUCUGGCUGGGACUGUUGUGGUCUGAUCGGACUGCCCGCUCGACUUUCAAUGUCUCGAUGACGGCUUGCCCCGCAGCUAAAACGUCGCAGUUUUCUAAUUUGUGCGGACUUGAACGGCUCAUGGGGCUCAGCAAAAGCAGCACAAUCGUUUCAAAGACAUCGAUGUGUUCGAGUGGUCUGCUCAACAUAAUGGAUGCAGAAAUACACUGUAGUAUUACAUAGGGGCUCAUAAGAAAUGUAAGAAUUUCGUUGAAGAAUAAGCUUAUUUUCUGUUUAAAUGAAGGAUUCUCGUAAAGCCAGCCCUUGUUCGUUUUAGGACGAUAGACAUACAUACUCACAUAUGUACAUAUGUACACAUAAAUCACAUAAAUGUAAUUGUUAAUGUGUUCCGAUUUUGGAUUUGAACAUUUGAUAGAACCUUUCUAUUGGCAUACAUUUUCCGCUCCACUUUCGAAAAGAGCUCAAAUACUUGUGAUCGUGUGUUGGAGCCGCAGACGCUCGUGGUUGUGGGCUAUUUAUGAUACAGUCAACGCUAAGUUCAAUAGCAUGCAAAUCAUUGCCCCCCGUAUAGUGUUGUGUUGUGUCGCAUAUCGAGAACGGCGCGCAGUUAUAGUUAUUCGUGUGUUAUUCGGUAUAUGUAAAUAUAAAAACCUUAUGGGAAAGCAUAGAGGUAAGAUGAUGCGCAUGAUACACAAUGAGCGACACAAAGAGAUAUCGCUGCACCAUAUGAGGACGUCCUCCAUUGCAACCGGAGAACCGGAACAAGCGACCGUACACCAUCAACGCUGCCAUACCAUACGUGAACCUUAUCAGGCCAAACCUGAGCCGCUCAUUCAGAUUUCUUACAUUCAGGAGCAGCAGUGAGCGUUUACAGAUCACCGACACACCGACACACCGACAACGACAGGACCAUAGUUCACCAGACUCUACUCAAAGAGGAGAAGGUCAACAAAAAGGUGGCCAUAGCGUAGUCCGAGCAAGGGGAAAGCCACGGCAUCCAUUUCGAUGUCUGAUCCAGGUGGUCUUACCGAAUCUCGCUGUUUGUUCCCCCGUCUAGGUCCAGGAACCAGAGUCGAAUCCAAAGUCCCUCAGCCGAUCACCGGAUUUGAUUAAGACGCAAAUUCGUUAUUUAAAAAUGGUUUAUUUAAAUAUUUGUCUGUUUGGUUUGUUUCUUUUAUUUUGUUUCGCCCACCUCUGAUGUGCGACAUCAUACAUCAUACCUUUUCUUUUCCCGUCUCGUCACGAGUCGUCACGUCUUGUCUCGCCUCAUGAAUCAAUCAAUCGGCGUCCUACCAUUCCUACUUCUCCUAGUGCGCUUGGUUUAACUACCAGCCUGGUACAGAUGUCUAUAUACGAUGCUAUGUGUGGGUGUUUGUGUAUGUAUGUAUGUAUGUAUCUAUAUAAAUGUGUAUCAUGUCCAUAAAUCAGUUGGAUAAUAUAAUAAUGAAAUAAGUAUAACAAAAGCAGAGAAAGAAAUAUAUGUACAUAUAUGUAUGUAUGUACGUACUUAUGUAUAUCGUAUGUAUGAGUAAGAAAGUAA